rnacentral:misc_RNA from 1 species
CCCCCCUAUAAAAAACAACCCAGCUCUUCCAUUUCUCUCUUAAAGCCUAAGCUUAUUCAAAAACACCAAAGCCCUCUCGUCUCUCUUCUCAUCUUCUGAAAGUUAAAAUAUGUGUCCGUCCGGUAGAAGUUUAGCUUCAAACACCCAAACUAGGUCGGAUUUGAGGGCAGCUUUUGAUAUUCUCGACGCCGACCAUGAUGGGAAAAUAAGCAGAGACGAUCUUCGAAAGUUUUACGCCGGAUUGUCAAGCGGCGACGCCAACGACGACGAUGUUAUAGGGUCGAUGAUAUCUGUGGCGGACUUCAACAAAGAUGGAUUCGUGGAGUACGAGGAAUUCAAGCGUGUUUUGGACGAUAAUGGAAAGAAGAGGAGUCGUAAUAACGGGGUCAUGGAAGACGUGUUUAAGGUUAUGGACAAAGACGGGGAUGGGAAAUUGAGCCACGAAGAUUUGAAGAGUUACAUGCAGUGGGCUGGGUUUGAUGCCCGCGAUGAUGAUAUUAAGGCUAUGAUGAAAUUGGGCGGUGGGGAUGAUAAAGACGGUCUAUCUUUUGGUGAUUUGCUUAAGAUUUUGUCUAUUGACUUGUGAUUCUUAGCUGUCGAUUUUUGUCAUGUUGUUGAUCUAAUUAUGGAUGGAGGUUAUUAAUGAAAAGGAACAGUAUUAUGUUUCAGUUUCUCUUCUGAAACAAGAAAUUGUAUUAUAGUGAGUAAAACUAAGUUUUGUUGGGUCGUGUUCCAUUUGCCUACGUCUCUUUCCAGUGAUUUUGGCAUUUUGGCAGCUUUGAAUCCCUCGUGUUUGUGCCUGUGUUUUCUAGCUUUUGUCAAGAAUAUAUAUUGUGGUGUAUAAUUUUUCGUUUAGUACAAGCUAUUUCUUCUCAAAAGCUAGAAAACACAGGCACAAACAC